rnacentral:tRNA from 1 species
GGUUUAAUAUUCAAGAGUAUGAUUUUAAAUUGCAAAUUUAAAGGUGAUUUUAUGUCUUAAACCU